rnacentral:lncRNA from 1 species
CAGAAAAAAUAUAUUCCUAGAAAUACAGAAGCUAUUAAGACUGAAUCAUGAAGAAAAUAUGAAUGGACAAAUAAUGAAUAAGAAGACUGAAUCAGCACAGAAAUAUCUCCCAACAAGGAAAAAUUCAGAACCAGAUGUCUUCACUGGCAAAUUUUACCAAAUAUUUAAAGAAGAAUAUAUUGUUAAUGCAUGCAUUCGAUUUUGUUUGAGUUUCCCCCGUGUCGCCAAGACAGAUUCAAGGCAGUCCAACAAUUUCUUCAUGACUAUUGGUCAUAACAGCAGACAAGUGCUUCCCAUUUACUUUAGUCCAGUUCAACCAGACAAGCAGAGCCAUUAGAAGAUACAGAUUGAGAAAUUUAUUUCAAGAAAAUAACUUGUGGGGGAUAUCUAGGGAAUUCCCAGAUCCAUAGGGUGAUUCAUGAGAAAGAGAAUUUGAAUCUUUGGCACAGGCUGAAAUUGUUAUCCACAUGUAGAAUUUCUUAGGAAAGCCUCAGCUGGCUUUUCAGGACUUUCACCUGAUUGAAUUGGUCUCAGCCAGAUUAACCAGAAUAAUUUCCCUUUCUAACUGUAAAUUGAUUAUAGAUUUUAAUUACAUCUACAAAAUAUCAUGACAACAUCUAGAAUAGCAUUUGAAUAACUGGAAGCUGAAAUCUAGCCAAGUCUACACAAUAAAAACACUAUCACAGUUCACCUACCAAUUUGGCACCUAGACACACAUCCUUAAACUUAAACUCUAAUAAAGACAAGAAACCCAAACUUCCACAUAAUAUGACACAACUAGUCUGUUUACAAAAUUUAAAAUAUUACCUUUUUCCCAGAAGAGGGCUCAAAGUCCUCUUCUCCUUUGUUAGUUUGUAACUCACUAUGCUAUAAAGCUGUCAUUUAUGUGUUUUAUGUUGGUUGGUAAAAAGAUAAGAGAGGGAAAAUAAAAAUAUUCAGUUGACAUAUCUGCAAAUAUAUUAAAAAUAAAAUAAGUAAGAAGUAAUUAUUACUGUCUUUUUUCAACUGGUCACAUAAUUAUAUACAUAUGAAUAAUUAUAAUCAGCCCUAUUUCUGGUUCCACUUUUGUGGAUUCAAGCAAAUACAGAUAAAAAAAUACUCGGAAAAAAUUGCAUUUGUACU